rnacentral:tRNA from 1 species
GGGGGUGUAGCUCAGUUGGGAGAGCGUCUGGUUUGCACCCAGAAGGUCAGCAGUUCAAAUCUGCUCAUCUCCA